UACGUAGGGUGCGAGCGUUGUCCGGAAUUAUUGGGCGUAAAGAGCUCGUAGGCGGCCUGUCGCGUCGGAUGUGAAAGCCCGGGGCUUAACCCCGGGUCUGCAUUCGAUACGGGCAGGCUAGAGUGUGGUAGGGGAGAUCGGAAUUCCUGGUGUAGCGGUGAAAUGCGCAGAUAUCAGGAGGAACACCGGUGGCGAAGGCGGGUCUCUGGGCCGUAACUGACGCUGAGGAGCGAAAGCGUGGGGAGCGAACAGG
rnacentral:rRNA from 1 species